GACGAACGCUGGCGGCACGCCUAACACAUGCAAGUCGAACGGACUUAAAAGAGCUUGCUUUUUUGAGUUAGUUGCUGACGGGUGAGUAACACGUGAGCAACCUGCCUCUGAGAGGGGGAUAGCUUCUGGAAACGGAUGGUAAUACCCCAUAAAAUAUAAAUAUCGCAUGAUAGAUAUAUCAAAGAAAUUCGCUCAGAGAUGGGCUCGCGUCGGAUUAGAUAGUUGGUGAGGUAACGGCUCACCAAGGCGACGAUCAGUAGCCGGACUGAGAGGUUGAACGGCCACAUUGGGACUGAGACACGGCCCAGACUCCUACGGGAGGCAGCAGUGGGGAAUAUUGCACAAUGGAGGGAACUCUGAUGCAGCGAUGCCGCGUGGAGGAAGAAGGUUUUCGGAUUGUAAACUCCUUUUAUCAGGGACGAUAAUGACGGUACCUGAAGAAAAAGCUCCGGCUAACUACGUG
rnacentral:rRNA from 1 species